rnacentral:lncRNA from 1 species
UAUUUAACCUUUCCUUUACCUACAUCAUUAAAGGAAACGGGCACCAUGUUUUUUUUUUUUUUUUUAUGUAAGAAGAGAAAGCUUGCCAAGGGCAAAACAAAAAGUGAAAAAAAGAUCCACUUGGAAUGCCAGUUCCCGUGCAGGAUAACUAUUGGAGGACAUGAUGAUAUAACAGAUGAUCCACCACCAGGAAUAAGGGACCACAUGAAAAUGGAAUGUACAUACGUACGUACAAUUAAAUAUCUUCAUAAGUGUGUGUGUGUGUGUGUGUGUGUGUUCGACGUUCGUUCGCAACGUUCGCGAAACGUUCCGAAUUUGUUUCACAUGGACCUGUACGUGUUUCUAUUAGUCUACCUACUUAACAGUACAGUUCUUCAACAAUACCCAAGUUGUUUUUUCUCAUUAUUAAAUUCUUAAAUAAAAAAAUGGGAUUGGUGUUACUGUAACAACCCUCGCUGGUGCACGGCGUAAAAAUCGCUGUUCUAAUUUUCAUGGCACAUUCAUUUGGAUCAUUCUUUUCUCGACAAGACAACCAUCAUAACGUGUUGAAGCGGACGACCGGACGGACGUUCUCUCACCCUCACACGCGUGGCCAUUGUUAUCAAGUCGUGGGUUUACUGCUUUGCUCCCUGGUGAUCUACUGAUUCUCCAUCAACCUGUAUGGUGCUCCACAGUUGCCCAAACAUUCUGCACCUUAUAAGGCUUAUGGCAAUGAACCCAAGUGCCAGAGGAAGUUACUAUCACAAAGAAGAGACUGCUUGACAUGCGUAAAGAAGGUAGAAGGUAUGUGGAUGUAAACUGCUAUUGUGGCAUCAGUGAAUCUACACUUGUUACAUUAAGAAUGACAAAAAAAAAAAAAAUAAAUAAAUAAAUAAAAUAAAUAAAUAAAAUAAAGGGCAAUAGGAAAGUAACUUAUAAAUUAAGUCUUACUUUGACUAUUUAACUUCCAAAGUGGAGCAUAUUUAAACUUCUCUCUUUUGCAGAGAUCUCCAUUCAUGAAUUUCAUGUUGACUUCAACGUCCACCACCAGCUUUGGCAUUCCUCACUCUUCACUGACCAUCCUGGUUAACUAGUUAUUAACUUGUGCUAACCUCCAUGACCUAAAGUAAUUGAUGCAAGAGCCUGCUUGUAUUUUGACUGUCUUGGAAAUAUACCCAACAUUCAUGACCUUUCCUAACCUCUAAUCUGCUUAUGUUGUUACUCUAUCUUUCUAGUUGAGCUCCUCUGAUCACAAUCUCAUAUCUAUCAUCCCUCUUCAAGAUUAUUGCUGAAACUUGCCUACACUCACCUGUUUCUAGAAUCGUUGCUUUUUAACUCCUCAAACUACUGUCCUGUUACUUUAAUUUCCUGCCUAUAUAAAGUUUUUUUUAAGUCUAUCAAUUGAAAGAUUUUCAGACAUCUAUCGUCACGUCAAAGUCUUCUAUCUGAUUACCAGCGUGGCUUCCAUCAAGAUUGCUCUACUGAUGAUCUGGCUUUCCUUAUUGAGAUUUGGUCAUCCUCUUUUUAGAGAUUUUGAUGAAACUUUUGCUAUUUAUUGCCUUGACAUAUCAAAACUUUUGACAAAUGUCUGGUACAAAGCUUUUGAUUUCUAAACUACCUUCCCACAUCCUUCUUUGCAUCUUCAUCUCAAGUUUCCUUUCUGACCAUUCUAUUGCUGUCAUGGUAAACAGUCACUUUUCUCCUAAAUCUAUUAACAGUGGUGUUCCUCAGGGUUCUGUCGUAUUACCCACUCUCUUCCAAUUCCUCAUUAAUAAUCUAAACCAAACUUCCUUGUUUCAUUAAAGAGGUGGUGCCAUAGUGGAUAAGUGGUGAGUGUGGGAUUGGACAGACAUCCACGUGUAGGUUUGAAUCCCACCACAUACCACUUUGAAUCUAUGCCAUUUGUUGAGUGGUUUAAAGUUACCUACAUGUCACCAUGAUACCCAGGUUCUAUAGUCUGACCAUUUUAUGAAGAUUGUUUAGGUGUUGGCUUUUUCGGGGAUUUCCCGGCCUGGGUGUUGGCUUUUUCGGGGAUUUCCCGGCCUGCAACACUGCCAAACCUUGUGCUGGGCAAAUUAUGGGAUUAGAGCUAUGUAUCAAUGGGAACCUUGUUUCCCACACACCAUCUCUCUCUCUCCUUAGCUGGUAGUGGGAGAGGAAGUGAUCCAUGGAUUAACACAGUCACUUUAACGUGUGACCUCACUCGGUCAUCGAAAGGGAAGUGAAAAUGCUCAGAGGAAAUGUUGUCAAGUAUUGUUGUGUUUGCACAAACAAUGCAAAAUAUAUUUAAAAAUAA